GUUAUAUGGGUCAAGUGAAGAAGCGCAUACGGUGGAUGCCUUGGCAGUCAGAGGCGAUGAAAGACGUGGUAGCCUGCGAUAAGCUUCGGGGAGUCGGCAAACAGACUUUGAUCCGGAGAUCUCUGAAUGGGGAAA
rnacentral:rRNA from 1 species